GACAGCAGCAGCCGCGGUAACACGGAGGGUGCAAGCGUUAAUCGGAAUUACUGGGCGUAAAGCGCACGCAGGCGGUCUGACAAGUCAGAUGUGAAAUCCCCGGGCUUAACCUGGGAACUGCAUUUGAAACUGUCAGGCUGGAGUCUUGUAGAGGGGGGUAGAAUUCCAGGUGUAGCGGUGAAAUGCGUAGAGAUCUGGAGGAAUACCGGUGGCGAAGGCGGCCCCCUGGACAAAGACUGACGCUCAGGUGCGAAAGCGUGGGGAGCAAACAGGAUUAGAUACCCGUGUAGUCCCUGUCUCUUAUAA
rnacentral:rRNA from 1 species